rnacentral:lncRNA from 1 species
UUUGUGAAUGCAGAUGAAUUAAAUUAAAACACGCAAAUUAAACCUAACUAAGGUUGGAUACUAAAGCUAACAUGACAGCUAAAUUAUCACUACCAAAAAUACUAAACAACAUUAAAGUAAAAGAAGAUGUUAAACCUAAUACUAAAGUAGACAAAUAUCCAAACAUAAUUAAAGCUAUUAAAAUGCAACUCUGAAACAUUUAAAUGUAAAAUGCAGCAGACAAAUAAGCAAAUACAUCAAUUAAAAAUUAAGUUGCUAAAUUAGAUAAAAGAAACAUCAUGUGGCAGCCAUAUGCCUUUCUAAUUGAAAAAGAAAAAAUAAAUAAAUAAAUAAAGCAAAAAAAAAAUGUGCAGGCCGUAACCAUCAACGUAAAAUCACUUGCCACAUCUCACCUAUCAAUAUGUAUUCAACUUUUCAUUUUUCAAUAAAAGAAAAGAAAAGAAAAGAAAAGAAAAAAAUAAAUAAAUAAAUAUUGGUUGGACGUAACAACUCCAAUUCUCUUCCAAGCUAAUUAAUUUAAAAGAAAGAAAAGAUGUGAUGCACCCUGUGACCGUGAUCACA